CUCAUUCAAUAGCUUAAAUCAUACAAUUCCUUCUAGAAACUAGACCCCUAUCAAGAUAGGGGCGGGUAUUAAUUUGAAGAAUCCUUACCUUACAGAAAUAUUUUGAUUUGGGUCGUGGGAGGCUAGCGACGAGAGUGAGAGCUAGCACCCGUGGUUGGCGGUGGAAGGUGGAGAGUGAGAGCUGAGGCGCCGAGCGAAGUCGUGGAGAGGCGGAGUCAAGGAUGGUGGCUGUGGUGUAUUGGUGGCAGCAUAGGAAGCGCAGGGUUGAUGGGGGGAAAAUGAACAACAGGAGGCGCAGUGAAUUGAGAAGAGGAGAACUUACAAAUGGGAGAAAAAUGUCGUGUUUAAUUAGGUUUUUUAGGACAAACAUACCGUAAAUACGUUUAAUUUUUGAGCAAAACACGACGUGCAACAGAUGCACGCGGUAAAUAGUGGCUUAAUACGGCGUGAAUCAUUUGCACGU
rnacentral:lncRNA from 1 species